rnacentral:rRNA from 1 species
ACACGACUACAUUAGAUACCCGUGUAGUCCCAGCCCUAAACGAUGCGCGUUAGGUGUAUCGGUGACCACGAGUCACCGAGGUGCCGAAGGGAAACCGUGAAACGUGCCGCCUGGGAAGUACGGUCGCAAGGCUGAAACUUAAAGGAAUUGGCGGGGAGCACCACAAGAGGUGGAGGCUGCGGUUCAAUUGGACUCAACGCCGGGAAGCUCACCGGAUAAGACAGCGGAAUAAUUGCCGGGCUGAAGACCCUGCAUGACCAGCUG